GGCGGCCGAGGGCUGCCGAGGGGUAGGAGGGCCGCGCGGGACCCUCGGGCUCGCGGCCCUGAGCGAACUCAGGUAUUCUGGAAGAGCUCCGAGGGGGAGCGGACGAAGGGCCCCUCCUCGCCUCCUCGGCCAGUCGACUCUCAGGCUAAGGGGCCAGCCUGGCCUCCCACAAGCUGCUGAGCGCCCCCUCUACCCGCGGCACGCCUACCACCUCCCGCGGCGAGUGCGGGCGGCCUGCUGGAGCCCACAGGGCAAUAGCGGCAAGUCCCCCUCUCCAGGAGCCAGAGCGAGAAGGUGUUUGCCGUGCGUCCGCAGGACGCGGCAUCUCCUUCCAUUUGCCGAGCGUCGCGCGCCCCUUACCCGAAGACUUCGGGAUAGUGGUGCCGCCACUUCUGCCCGCAUGCCGUCUCCAUCUGCGCGGGCCUGUUUUCCAGCUCCCCAGCUCGUCUCCUACCCAUGCCCGGGGACAUCAUUCCUCAGAUGGGUAGCUGGCUCAGCUUGUCGUGAGAGAGCCCACAGUCAGGACCGGGGCCCAGGAGGGAAUCACUCCUGCGUCAAGUCUCUGGGCCUCGUUGGCCUACUCGACAACAUGCUGUGCCAGGAAAAGUAGAGCCAGUUGACUGCAGGCCUUCACAGAUAUUAGUCCUUUGAGGAACAACUGGCUAAACACUUUUAACAACUUCUUCACGGAUGCUGAUGAUGCUGGUCUGGAGAUAGACUGAAGACACAAAGCAUUUGUGUACAAUGGUUGUCUGAAGUAAAAGCACUCGUGUAAUUGAAUUUUUGAGCUAGUCACCUUCUUUUUAAAACACCAUUUUUACUUGAAAAAGUACUGACAUAGCAUGUUAUUUUGUUAUGGAUAGUCCUCAAAAAUAAAGUCAGCCAGUUAUUUCAAAGAAAACAACUGACAAUAUUUAUUUCCAAUGACAAAACCUGAGCUUUCCACUGGAAACUAGAAAUUUGGGAAACUUGUACCUACCAUCAUGAGUUUGACUCCAUACCAAUAUUUAAAGACGUUUGUAGUAAAAUACUGGAAGUGCUGUUCAUGAAUGUAAUUUUUUAAAAAUUUAUUUUAUUUUUUGCAGGGCUGAAGAUCAAACUUAGGGCCUUGUGCAUGCUGGGCAAACAUUACCACUGAGUUACAUCCCUAGCCCAUGGAUGUAAUGUUUUGACACUGAAAUAUGUCAGCAUUUGGCGGGAAUCUGCAUAAUUCAUGAAGCAAUGUUUUCCAAAUGAACAGUGCAUAACGUUACAAAAUCAUGCAUGGGUGACACAGCCAUUCAAAGGGCAAGUGACACAAGUUGAUUUAAAUGUAAUAGAAUAGGAUAUGGGUCCAGAUUCCACAUUGCAAUAAAAAUGUAGAAAGAGGAGUAUUCACAAUUAUCUGAAAAAGCCAUUAAAAUACUCCCUCUUUUCCAAGUAUACCUGUGCUGGGCCAGAUUUUCUUCAUGUACCUUACCAAAACUGAAUGCAAAAUCAAAUAUGAAAUUCUAAUUGUGUUCUGUUAAAUCAGGCAUUAACAAUUUGGGAGAAAAAGUGAAUGUCACUGUUAUAUUUUUAUACUCUUUUGGGCAAAUAUUAAUGAUCAUAAAUUAUGUGGUAAGUACAUUAUUAUUUUUAAAUGAAUCAAUGUUUGUUCUCUGUUUUAAUUUCUAAUAAUGAAAAUAUUGCCCAGUACAAGCCAUAUAAGCAUAAACUCAUCAGGGUACUCAAUAAUUUUUAAAAAUAUAAAAGGGUCCUCAGACAAAAAAAAUGGGGAACUGCUGUUCUAGAUUUCUAGGAGGGUUCUAUUUAUUGAUUUUGAUAGUUGCUACAUGGAGGUUAGUUUUAUAGUUAUUUCUUAAAAUGUAUAUGCAAAUUUCAUGUGCUUUUGCAAAUGUUAAAUUUCAUAAGGUGUUUCAAAAAUUGCAGUUAAACCAUGUCAAGUGCCAUUCUACCUAAGUUUUUGGGAAAAAUCAUUUCAGAAUUAAAGUACAACUAUAGCUGUCUAAGGCGCAAUGUCACCUUGCCCGUGAGCCACCUAUGGCAUGCAGAAACAUAACUCCAUUUUGCCUCUGGUCUGAGACCUCAGUAGUACCGUGAUACUUUGACACUCAAGGGCAAGUGUUCCUCAGCUGAAGACAUCCUGGUUCUUUGAGUAGUGAUAAAAAAAGAGAAAGGUUUCACUUGAAGGAAAGACAACCUCUUUAUUAGCCUGCUAUCUUGUCCCACCUGCUAUUGUAAGAAUGCUCUCCUUACCACUUUCAUGAACAUAAGAUCCUCAUUGACCUAAGAUCCUUAUCAGCAUAAGAUCCUCAUCAACAUAGGAUUACCUCCACCGCCUUAGUCACCUGAUACUCCCUCCAAUUAUUAUAAACCCAAUAAAUAAUGGCUAGCUCUGAGGGUCUUUGUCUUUGCCUGCUCUGAGGCACUGACUUCCCGGCCUCCUGUAUACUUUGAAAUUAUGCAAGUCUCUAUUGUCUUUUUCUCUUUAGUCUUGCCAUCCCCCUUCCUAGGCAGUUAGAGGACUGAUCACCCUCUGAUAAAACCAUUUGCUUCUUGAUGUGUUAGAAAGAGCAGAGUUUUAUAAAUGAAAGAUUCAUCAUGAGAUGUUUAUAUAUCUUGUUUAUCAAUAAAGAUUUUCUGUAUUUGAAAAAAAAGAAGUGAUUCAAAUUCUCUGUCUGGGUGAGAGUGGUUAUGGAACAAAAAAAACCCCAAAAGGAAUAAUUAUCAUGCCACCUUCUGUACUUGCUUUUAGCCCAAAAGGCUGAGAGGAGAUAGUAAUGCCACCUUCUAUAAAGCAUGAAGGUGCUUUAUAACUGUAACAUAGUAUGCAAAUGUUGGCCACUAUUAUAACUGCAGAGUACCAACAUAUAGUCAUGAGCUACAUAAUGACAUUUGUCAGCGAUAGACUGCAUAUUCUGUGAAGGUCCUGGGCAGCCUAGCAUGUAGAAGGCUACAGCAUCUAGGCUUGUGUAACUACAUGCUACAGUGUUUGCACAACAAAAAUGCAUAACAAUGCAUUUUUCAGAAUGUAUCUCCAUUGUUAGCGACACACGACCAUAUAUCAAUUCAAAAGUUUCUCCCAAUGAACCUCCCUGUGAUUUC
rnacentral:lncRNA from 1 species